rnacentral:rRNA from 1 species
GACGAACGCUGGCGGCGUGCCUAAUACAUGCAAGUCGAGCGAACAGAAAAGGAGCUUGCUCCUUUGACGUUAGCGGCGGACGGGUGAGUAACACGUGGGCAACCUACCCUAUAGUUUGGGAUAACUCCGGGAAACCGGGGCUAAUACCGAAUAAUCUCUUUUGCUUCAUGGUAAAAGACUGAAAGACGGUUUCGGCUGUCGCUAUAGGAUGGGCACGCGGCGCAUGAGCUAGUUGGUGAGGUAACGGCUCACCAAGGCGACGAUGCGUAGCCGACCUGAGAGGGUGAUCGGCCACACUGGGACUGAGACACGGCCCAGACUCCUACGGGAGGCAGCAGUAGGGAAUCUUCCACAAUGGGCGAAAGCCUGAUGGAGCUACGCCGCGUGAGUGAAGAAGGUUUUCGGAUCGUAAAACUCUGUUGUAAGGGAAGAACAAGUACAGUAGUAACUGGCUGUACCUUGACGGUACCUUAUUAGAAAGCCACGGCUAACUACGUGCCAGCCGCCGCGGUAA